GGUUGAACUAGUGACUUUUUGAUUUUUACAAGAUCCAGCCAGAAAGAUUUUGUAUAAUUAAAGUAAUUGAAAUUAUUUGUUGUAAUUAUGUUGCAAUUGGGGAAUCAAAUGGAACAGUUCAUGGGAUUCAUUAUGAUGAAAAAUCAACCGAAUAAAAUGAUUAUUUAUCUCAGGUAACUCACCAUAUUCACCAUCAGCUUGCACGUCAUUUGAAAUAAUAUAAAUCAGCAUAUGAGCAGCUAUAUAUGUCAUGAAGAUUUUUUUUGUCCUGCUCGAGUACUUACGUAUCUAUAAUGUAACCUUACUGAUAUGAAGAUGCCACCAAGCAUCAGAACAAUGAUAAAUGAGGU